GUGCACUCUGUCAUUUCUAUCUCCCCAAAUUACCCAUAAUGCACAGCAGAAUAUCCUACAUUGUGAUGCUGAGUUCUUCGCAAAUACCCAGGGCAUUCACGGAAAAUAUGGUCCAUAUUCUCUGAUCCAACUCCACAGCGUGGACAUACUAUUAUGUUUGUUAGCUUUUUUUGAAGCAUAUUAACUCGUAUAGCUAGGAAAUUCCAUGAUAUCUUCCAAAUUGUAAUUUUGAUUUUUGAAGGAAGGUUCAAGAGCCAUAAUUUUUUGUAAAAUUCCUUAUAGCCAUCUUGUAAAGCGUAAGCUCUAGGAUCAUCUUCAAUACUUUGUAAUAGUUUAUAGGCACUUCGCACUGUGAAUUCGCCCGAUGCCUCUGCACUCCAGACCCGAAAAUCAUCAUAAGGUUCUUCUGCCAAUGGGAUGCCAAUAAUCUUCUCAGCUACAUCCUCCGGAAAGGUAUUAUUUGAGUGCAAUUUGUUAUCCCGUGCCCCAUUCUUCCACAUCCAAAACAAAAUGUCGGUAGAUUCUCGUACUUAAAAGGAACCCACGUUUUAUUAACAUUAAUA